GAGCUCCCACAAAGCCGAGAAUAACUUCGGCGGAAGUGUUGUGAUCUCCCGGUGACGGGGGUGGAACGACCGCCGCCGGCCGCGUCUUUAAAAUCUACUUGAUAAUCUGAGAGUGUCUGAGGAAUACGAGAAGAAAAUGAAGAAAAACUUUCAACAACGGAUCUCUUGGCUCUGGCAACGAUGAAGAACGCAGCGAAACGCGAAAGGUAAUGCGAAUUGCAGAAUCAGUGAGUCAUCGAAUCUUUGAACGCACAUUGCGCCUCUCGGUAUUCCGGGAGGCACGCCUGUUCGAGCGCCAUUACACACUCCAAGCCGUGCUUGAUGUUGGGCGGAGUGUCCUUCAAAAGUGAGGGACGCGCGCCUGGAACGCCUUGGCGGCCACCACCGGACGACAAGCGCAGCAAGACUGAAUGGUCAAGAUCGCUGAGUCGGUUCUGGUGGACGGUUCGAUCCCGAAUUUCACUGCAAUAGACAGAGAGACUUGGCCUCGGAUCAGGCGGGGAUACCCGC
rnacentral:rRNA from 1 species